UUAAUUAUUGCUAUAUUAUUUAUGUUCUCACUUUUGUAGAACUUCUUCAAGUCUUAAAAUAAUGUGCUGCUUAUAAUAAUGUGUAUUUUCUAUGUCAUAUUUCUUUAGUCUAUUUUCCUUUCAAAAUUGUUGUUCUUGUUGGUUUAUCAUAAUCAAUCUUCAUAACACUUUUUGUAAAUUAUUUUACUUUUUCAAAAGUUCUACCUUGCCUGAUCAGAGAAAUAAAUCUCUGAUCAGCCUUAUCUAAAAAUAAGAAAGCCAUUGUAGGAUAUUGAGUGCAUGUAAAUGUGUUUAAGCUUGAAGAUGAAAAGGCAAAGAUUAGGCCUUCUAUACGAUUAUGUAGAAAUAUUUAAAAAUUUGUUUAUUUUAAUUCUGAAGGAAUAAAUCAGAGGUCCCUGCUAAGUUUUUAAUUACUAACAAUUAGUCCCAUGAAGUUAAAAAAAAAGAAGUCAUCAGAUAGAAGUUUAUAUGGUGUGGUUUUUAUAUUCAACAAAGUGUUUUUUGCUUGUUGUAUCGAGGCCUUUCUGUGUACAAUAUCCCUAGGUUUAAUCUGUAUCCUUUGCUUAUUAUGAAAAAAUAGAUAUUAGGCAUUUGAAUAAAAUUCUAUGUGAGUCGGAUAUUAUAGUGUAGUUCCUACCUUCAAUAGUGUUAGGAGAGAUGCUAGUUUGAUCUAUUCUUUACCUCCUUUUAUUUGGUGCAGAGAAAUUGGAUCCUACUAGAUUUCAAUUAAGAAAGACCUUAAAAUAAAGUUCAGUCACUUCUUUAAUUCUGCAAAUUAUUUUUUAAAUCUAAUAUUGAAAAAAGAAAGAAAGAAAACAGAAAUUGCAAAGUAUGAGUAAAUGAAAGAACACAAUUUUCUAGUGGUAGGGAUUGAAACACACUAAAUAUUGUUUCAUGUCCUACUCAUUAGAGUUUAUUUAUGUAUGCCUUAAUACAGCAAGAAUUUAGUGAGUGACUAAUUUGCCUACCAAAGAUGACUGAUACAUAAUUGUCCUCAAGUGGCUCACAUAUUGACCAAGGGACAGAAUGGCAUGAAACAAGAGGCAAUAACACAUACAGGGUAAUCAUAGUUGUAUGCAUAAGUUUUAAGAGAAGCACAGAGGAAGGACAACCUAAAUGCUUGGUUGAUUAUUCUGUUUAGGCAAUAUGAUAAUAUUUUGAAGAAGGUUGAAAAUGAGGUUUGGUAUUUUUUGUCAGUUUUUGGUGUUCCUAUGCCCAAUGUUUCUGGAAAAGUACAAUAUAUUGUUUUGGUUGUCCCAGAAGGUACCCACAGUUUUUCCUUUGGUUGCUUAAGAGUUGUGUCAGAGACAAAAGGCCUAGUACAGAGCUAAAUGUGGCACAGUGAAGUGAACAGAGCUACUGUUAGAAACAUUUUUCACUGUUGAAUUUUUAACUUUUCCCAUGAAGAAUCACAAGAACAUGAACGGUUUUCUAUCUUAACAUUAUUUUUUCCAAACAAACAAAAGAAAAUAAUAAUAAAAAUUUUAAAUAAGCCACUAAAUGAAAAUUUUGUAAGUGCAUAAAACACACAAAAUUGGGUAAAGCCAUUUCGGUGUGCUGGAAGCCACACGGUGGCGCUGCAAGCUAAAAAGACGAGGGGUGGGGACUUGAAUUGAGAACGCUAUACAAGUCCCUAACAAAAAAAGGAAGAUCCGGACAGAUCAGCUGGGGAAAAAAGCUGUAACAGCCCUAGAUUGGGAAAGCAAAAGGAAAAAAAACCCUAGGUCCCUGCUACUAUUAAUACAUAAGUGUGGGGUUUGCAACUGCUGAUUACAUCCGGCGCUGAGAUUGUGACUGACAAAUGAGGAAACAGUGAGCUAUGGAGGCUAGAGGGUUCUGCUUCUCAAGACAAAGGCAAGUUUUAUUUCUCUUUCUAUUUUGGGGAGUGUCAUUGGCAGGUUCUGGGUUUAGACGUUAUUGGGUAACAGAGGAAACAGAAAGAGGAUCAUUUGUGGUCAAUCUGGCAAAGGAUCUGGGACUAGCGGUGGGAGAACUGGCUGCAAGGGGAACCAGGGUGGUUUCUGAUGAUAGCAAACAGCACUUGCUCCUGGAUUCUCAUACUGGGGAUUUGCUCACAAAUGAGAGACUGGACCGAGAGAAGCUAUGUGGCACCACAGAACCCUGUCUGCUGUAUUUCCAAAUUUUAAUGGAUAACCCCUUUCAGAUUUACCAGGCUGAGCUGAGAGUCAGGGAUGUAAAUGAUCACUCACCAGUGUUCCGGAACAAAGAGAUGGUAUUAAAAAUACUAGAAAAUACAGCAGAAGGGACAACAUUUCGACUAGAAAGAGGACAGGAUUCAGAUGGAGGACUUAAUGGAAUCCAAAACUACACCAUCAGCCCCAACUCUUUUUUCCACAUUAAAAUUAGUGACAGUGAUGAAGGCAUGAUAUAUCCAGAGCUAGUGUUGGACAAAGCGCUGGAUCGGGAGGAACAGCGGGAGCUCAGUUUAACCCUCACGGCUCUGGAUGGCGGGUCUCCACCAAGAUCUGGGACUUCCGCUAUUCGUGUAGUGGUCAUGGACAUCAAUGACAAUGCCCCGCAGUUUGCUCAGGCACUCUACGAGGUCCAGGCUCCAGAAAACAGCCCGGUAGGGUCCCUUAUUGUUAAAGUCUCCGCAGGAGAUGCAGACGCAGGAGUCAAUGCUGAAGUAGCCUAUGCAUUUUUUGAUGCUUCUGAAGAUAUUCCAACAACUUUUCAAAUUAAUCCUUUUUCUGGGGAAAUCAUUCUCAGAGAGAUGCUUGAUUACGAAUUAGUACAGUCUUACAAAAUAAAUAUACAGGCAAUCGAUGGUGGGGGUCUUUCUGCAAGAUGUACGGUUUUGGUCCAGGUAUUAGACACCAAUGACAAUCCUCCUGAACUGAUCAUAUCAUCGCUUUCUAACUACGUUGCUGAGAACUCUCCUGAUGUGGUCCUGGCCGUAUUUAGGAUUAAAGACAGAGAUUCAGGAGAAAAUGGGAAGACUGUUUGCUCCAUUCAAGAUUAUCUGCCUUUCCUUCUGAAACCUUCUGUGGAUAAUUUUUACAUCCUAAUGACAGAAGGAGCCCUGGACAGAGAGAGUCAAGCCGAGUACAACAUCACCAUCACCGUCACUGACUUGGGGACUCCCAGGCUGCAAACCCAGCAAAACAUAACGGUGCUGGUCUCCGACGUCAACGACAACGCCCCCGCCUUCUCCCAAAGCUCCUACACCCUGUUCGUCCCCGAGAACAACAGCCCCGCCCUGCACAUCGGCAGCGUCAGCGCCACAGACAGAGACUCGGGCUCCAACGCCCAGGUCACCUACUCGCUGCUGCCGCCCCGCGACCCGCACCUGCCGCUCGCCUCGCUGGUCUCCAUCAACGCGGACAACGGGCAGCUGUUCGCCCUGAGGUCGCUGGACUUCGAGGCCCUGCGGGCGUUCGAGUUCCGCGUGGGCGCCGCAGACCGAGGCUCCCCCGCGCUGCGCAGCGAGGCGCUGGUGCGCGUGGCGGUGCUGGACGACAACGACAACCCGCCCUUCGUGCUGUACCCGCCGCAGAACGGCUCGGCGCCCUGCACCGAGCUGCUGCCCGGGCGCAGAGGCCGGCUACCUGGUGAGCAAGGUGGUGGCGGUGGACGGCGACUCGGCCAGAACGCCUGGCUGUCGUUCCAGCUGCUCAAGGCCACGGAGCCCGGGCUGUUCAGCGUGUGCCGCACAAUGGCGAGGUGCGCACGCCAGGCCGCUGGCGAGCGCGACGCGGCCAGGCACAGGCUGGUGUGCUGGUGAGGGACAGUGGCGAGCCCGCGCUGUCUGCCAGCGUCACGCUGCACGUGCUGCUGGUGGACGGCUUCUCGCAGCCCUACCUGCCGCCGCCGGAAGCGGCCCGCCCAGCCAGGCCGACUCGCUCACCGUCUACCUGGUGUGGCCUUGGCCGCGGUGUCGUCGCUCUUCCUGUUCUCGGUGCUGCUGUUCGUGCGGUGCGGCUGUGCAGGAGGGACCGGCGCCUCGGGGGUCGCUGCUCGGUGCCUGAGGGCCGCUUUCCGGCCACCUUGGUGGACGUCAGCGGCGCGGGGACCCUGUCCCAGAGCUCCAGUAUGAGGUGUGUUGA